rnacentral:lncRNA from 1 species
GUGGGACGAUUUUCACCGACAAGUGUACAGAGCGGAACACACGAACAAGUUGACGACGAAUUAAGUCGCGUGUUUUUUUUUUAUUGGAUUGGCAGCAUCCAGAGAAGGAGGUGUGAUGGUGGCAUAUGAUGCGUGAAUCAAUAUAGUGGCAGGAUCAACAUUAAUCCUCUGCCGUGUCAGGCUAUCAUCUGCACACUUAUGAGGAGGAAGAGGAAG